rnacentral:lncRNA from 1 species
UUUGAAGUAAAGGCCUGUUUUAUACGUUUCCUAAGUAGUAAUCCCCAUAAAACCAACAGUUUGGUGUACUCAGCAGGUUUUUUCUAGCACAAAAGAAAACACGCUUAUCCCUAAAGUCUCAGAGAUCAUCUCUUGCGUUCUGGUGGCACAUGCGCCUCAUCCCAGGCAACACUGAUUUGAUUAUGCUAAGGCAGGUUGCCAGAGAGACUGACUCUCCCUCAUUAACUUGGUCCUCUCUCUCCCCAGCAGUGCCUUUCCUGAGUUACACUUUAACCACCCCAGGCCGUUUAUUCUCCGUGAACCCAGGCUGCCUUUCAUGGGAAUCUGAAACUGAGAGAAUGUGGAAUGGCCUCCUUUCCAAGAGCUGCUUGGUUCUCACCCGUCUUGAGUCCUGCUUGUUCAGGGCCUCUUGGAUGUCAGUAUAUCCCCAGUUUGCUUAAGUUCCCUCAAGUUCAUCCUGAAGAACCUUAGCAGUUCAAACUCUGGUAAGUGAUGGAGUCAGUGCUUGAAUCCAGGUCCAUUUGACACCCAUGUCCACACUCUUGACCACGUGCUGUUUUCAGGCGUUUGAUGCUGAGUCACUUCAUGUCCUUUUGGUGGGAACCAGCAGGGUCACACAAGCAGCCUCCACCCUUGAGAGGAAUGAAUUCCUCUCUAUUCCAGCCAACACCACAAAAUACUCUGGAAAGAAGACCAGAGCUCUCUCUUUCUCUUCUCCUCUGCCAUGAUGACUUUGGAGACCACAAAUUGCAAAUGAUGUUAGCUACAAGAUGGAGAAGAGCUGCUGACCUGCUGAGGACUACGGCUUGAAUGAGUGUGGCAGCUAGUCUUCAAAGACAGC